rnacentral:rRNA from 1 species
GCAGUCGCCACGGUAAUACGUAGGUGGCAAGCGUUGUCCGGAUCUAUUGGGCGUAAAGCGAGCGCAGGCGGUUCCUUAAGUCUGAUGUGAAAGCCCCCGGCUCAACCGGGGAGGGUCAUUGGAAACUGGGGAACUUGAGUGCAGAAGAGGAGGGUGGAAUUCCAUGUGUAGCGGUGAAAUGCGUAGAUAUAUGGAGGAACACCAGUGGCGAAGGCGACUCUCUGGUCUGUAACUGACGCUGAGGCCCGAAAGCGUGGGUAGCAAACAGGAUUAGAUACCCGGGUAGUCCCUGUCUCUUAUAC